UCCUGAUAAAGGAGUCUUUUGCUUGUCCUAAAAGCACAGGUGAAUAAGGGGUGGGCAAGUCUGGUGUCAGCCGCCGCGGUAAUACCAGCACCUCGAGUGGUCAGGACGUUUAUUGGGCCUAAAGCAUCCGUAGCCGGCUUUGCAAGUCUUCGGUUAAAUCCACCUGCUCAACAGAUGGGCUGCUGGAGAUACUACAAAGCUAGGGAGUGGGAGAGGCAGACGGUAUUCAGUUGGUAGGGGUAAAAUCCUCUGAUCCAUUGAGGACCACCAGUGGCGAAGGCGGUCUGCCAGAACACGUUCGACGGUGAGGGAUGAAAGCUGGGGGAGCAAACCGGAUUAGAUACCCCCGUAGUCC
rnacentral:rRNA from 1 species